AUUGAACGCUGGCGGCAGGCCUAACACAUGCAAGUCGAACGAGUGGCGGACGGGUGAGUAAUGUCUGGGAAACUGCCUGAUGGAGGGGGAUAACUACUGGAAACGGUAGCUAAUACCGCAUACCAUCGGAUGUGCCCAGAUGGGAUUAGCUAGUAGGUGGGGUAACGGCUCACCUAGGCGACGAUCCCUAGCUGGUCUGAGAGGAUGACCCGCAAUACUGGAACUGAGACACGGUCCAGACUCCUACGGGAGGCAGCAGUGGGGAAUAUUGCACGAUGGGCGCAAGCCUGAUGAAGCCAUGCAGCGUGUAUGAAGAAGGCCUUCGGGUUGUAAAGUACUUUCAGCGAGGAGACGUUACCCGCAGAAGAAGCACCGGCUAAAUCCGUGCCAGCCGCCGCGGUAAUUC
rnacentral:rRNA from 1 species